GCAAUAGUACGGAAAACUCAAGGGUGGUCGGCAUUCUACCCCUAUAGAAAGGGGGUGGUGCCGUUGACAGUAUUCGAAUCAUUGAUGUUUGCGAUAACUUUCGCAGGUCUGAUCGUUUCGAUACUGUCAUAUCAUCAAAAGAAGUAAUCCACCCUUGAGUUGACGACGACUGGGUGGAUUAUUUUCUGCCUACUGUCCGAUCCCCUUGAAGGGAACCGUCUAUUGCACGACCGAGGGUGUUGCCGCACCUUCG
rfam:Geobacillus caldoxylosilyticus NBRC 107762 DNA, contig: GCA01S073.